rnacentral:rRNA from 1 species
GGGGGGGGGGGCUAGCGUUGUUCGGAUUUACUGGGCGUAAAGGGCUCGUAGGCGGCCAUCUAAGUCGGUUGUGAAAUCCCUCGGGCUCAACCGGGGAACUGCGAUCGAGACUGGAAGGCUUGAAGCCGGGAGAGGGAUGCGGAAUUCCAGGUGUAGCGGUGAAAUGCGUAGAUAUCUGGAGGAACACCCGUGGCGAAGGCGGCAUCCUGGACCGGUCUUGACGCUGAGGAGCGAAAGCUAGGGUAGCAAACGGGAUUAGAUACCCCGGUAGUCCUAGCCGUAAACGAUGAGUGCUUGGUGUGGCGGGUAUCGAUCCCUGCCGUGCCGUAGCUAACGCGUUAAGCACUCCGCCUGGGGAGUACGGUCGCAAAGGCUG